ACACUUCCCUGGCAGGGGAGAUACCAUAAUCACAAAGGUAGUUUUUCCAGGAUGAGGCUUAUCCAUCGCACUCAGGUGUGCUGACCCCUGAGAUGUCCCCAACUAUGGGAAACUCAACUGCAUAAUAUGUGGUAGCGGGAGACUGAGUUAUUUGCUGUUCUA